rnacentral:rRNA from 1 species
UGGGGAAUUUUUCGCAAUGGGCGCAAGCCUGACGAAGCAACGCCGCGUGGAGGAUGAAGGCCUUCGGGUCGUAAACUCCUGUCGACCGGGACGAAAGCAGUCUGGGAUAACACCCCGGGCUGUUGACUGUACCGGUGGAGGAAGCCACGGCUAACUCUGUGCCAGCAGCCGCGGUAAUACAGAGGUGGCAAGCGUUGUUCGGAAUUACUGGGCGUAAAGGGCGCGUAGGCGGUCCGAUAAGUCCCGUGUGAAAGCCCCCGGCUCAACUGGGGAACUGCACGGGAAACUGACGGACUUGAGUUCGGGAGAGGGAAGCGGAAUUCCGGGUGUAGCGGUGAAAUGCGUAGAUAUCCGGAGGAACACCGGUGGUGAAGGCGGCUUCCUGGACCGACACUGACGCUGAUGCGCGAAAGCUAGGGGAGCAAACGG